rnacentral:pre_miRNA from 1 species
GGGGGGAGGCUGGAUCCUGGGCUGUGUCCCCGGAGCCCUGUGCUCCCGGGCCUGUGGUGUUGGAUUCGUGCUCCCAGCCGCAGCCCCCU